rnacentral:rRNA from 1 species
AGAGUUUGAUCCUGGCUCAGAGCGAACGCUGGCGGCAUGCUUAACACAUGCAAGUCGCACGGUCGGGGCAACCCGGCAGUGGCGGACGGGUGAGUAACGCGUAGGAAUCUAUCCACUGGUGGGGGAUAACCGCGGGAAACUGCGGCUAAUACCGCAUGAUGCCUUCGGGCCAAAGGCGCGAGUCGCCUGUGGAGGAGCCU